UGGGGAAUAUUGCACAAUGGGCGCAAGCCUGAUGCAGCCAUGCCGCGUGUGUGAAGAAGGCCUUCGGGUUGUAAAGCACUUUCAGCGAGGAGGAAGGUGGUGAACUUAAUACGUUCAUCAAUUGACGUUACUCGCAGAAGAAGCACCGGCUAACUCCGUGCCAGCAGCCGCGGUAAUACGGAGGGUGCAAGCGUUAAUCGGAAUUACUGGGCGUAAAGCGCACGCAGGCGGUUUGUUAAGUCAGAUGUGAAAUCCCCGGGCUCAACCUGGGAACUGCAUUUGAAACUGGCAAGCUAGAGUCUCGUAGAGGGGGGUAGAAUUCCAGGUGUAGCGGUGAAAUGCGUAGAGAUCUGGAGGAAUACCGGUGGCGAAGGCGGCCCCCUGGACGAAGACUGACGCUCAGGUGCGAAAGCGUGGGGAGCAAACAGGAUUAGAUACCCCUGGUAGUCCACGCUGUAAAACGAUGUCGAUUUUGGAGGUUGUGCCC
rnacentral:rRNA from 1 species